rnacentral:misc_RNA from 1 species
CGAGCUGCUUCUUCGUUUCAAAUACAUUUGGCGCCGCUGCCUAUUGUUUGAGCCUGUGCUCACGAUGAAAACACGCAUCGCAGAAACCUGAAAGCCCGCCAAAAGAGCUCUAAAAACCGCAUCCCAGACCUGCCGGCAGACUUCCGAGCUAAGCCUGAUUAAACAAAAACGUUUGAUCCGGCGGAAUAAUGUGUUUGAUAUUACAUCCCAUGUCAACAAGGAACUGCGCUGUCUGUCUUCGCCCCCAACAGGUUUUAUUCUUCCGGGUUUUUCAAAUCUUUACCAACCCGCGUCCGAUCGUAAUACCCCGAUCACAACAAAUAGUUGAUCGUGCUCCGAUGGCUCCAAACAUCAGCCGGCAAGGAAGUUACGUUUUUCGCUUCUAUAUUUUGACCCAAGUGAUGGCUGGUCGUGGUUCAUCAGCGUUUGUUUUGAAACUGAUGGGUACCACAAGGCAUGAAGGAGGUGACUUGCAGCAGCAAGGCACUGCAAGCCUUCGCAGCAACUGGCUAGCCAGUGCUGCUCUGUUCUGAACUGCACUGCGUGUCAUGCGGAGGUUUUGUGCAAGCUCUCUGGGCGGCGACGCUAGCCACGAUUGGCUUCGUGGAUGCACAGAAAUACUCAAGGCGCUUGACGUCUGUGGCUCAUCUGUAUUGUUUUUCCCGGUACCACGGCAUGAAGGAGCUGGCCUCCCUCCCUUCCAUCAGCUGCGAGAUACUACAAGCACUGGGCUACAGCUGCAGCUAGCCCAUGGGUACCGUUCUGCGUCCUGUACUGCAUCUAGUUCGAAAGGCCAUGUGAAAGGCAGGUACCGGGGACCAUGACAUCAGUGAGCUGGCUUUCACCUUGUCCAAGGCAGCAGCGGAACACUACGGGCGGGACCCUGGAUCACUGCACCAUGGAUGCCGUCCUGUACCCUGCACGGCACUGCGUGUGGCUUAAGUGGCCAAGCAGAGGGUCAUUGCAUGACUUUUAUGAGGCGCCGCUAGCCAUUGUAAGUACAUUUUGGACACUCAUGUCUGGUGAUGUACUUUUGUGCUCUACCGCAGAGCACAUUUGGUGGCGGUUCAGUCUUGCCAAUUACACCAUUUUGAAACGGAACACAUUUAGUGGUGGCUCGGUUUAGGUUUCCUGGCUCGGUGAUCUUGCAACAGUGUCUAGACUUGGCGUAAACCUUUUUGUACUUCAUUGUCAUGGCUAGUGUAAUUUCUGCAAUGCCGUUGAAGCCACUUCUGCACGCAAACAAGAUAAAAGUCGAAGCCACAUGCUCGUGCACAGUGUAUGACUACAUGUAUGCAUGGGCACUCGUGCCCAUGCGUACCCACUUGCAACAUGGAGCAUGUUUGUUUCGGCCGACACUCCACGCGUUCAUUUCGGCGUCGCCACUCCACACGUCUAUGCACUCGCUGCACCUUGAGAAUCAAGUGUGCACCAGAAUGCACUCCCGUCAUGCAUCACUCGGGAGAGGAACAAGAGCAGACGACUGGGGUUUUUCCGCCAUAAGGAACGAGAACCGAAAAAAAGGGGAUUUUCUGCUAAGAAACUGCGUCCCACGGGCAGCAAAAUCGGACGCGAGCUGGGCUAUUUAUUCUGUGAAGCAAGCAAUCGACAACCUGUGCUUCAUUUUCAAGUUUUCUUUCAGCUUGUUGCCACACAGACAUUGAAAUACAUCAAUGGGAUAAAGUAAGGUUCAGAACCAACAUCAGCUACCGUGAGAUCUCUCACCAUCCUUGCGGGGUUGAAAAAUUGGGACUUCAGUUGACAAACCUCGCCCGCCCUCCUGUCCAUCAUCACCUGACCCCAUUCUGCAUAUGUGGGUAUGUGCAAGGGAGCGUGAUCAUGUGGCUGAAGAUACAAGUGUGACCGGCCCAACGAGCACAUAGUUUCCACAGCACUGUCGGCUUAGGGGUGCACGGAAGAUACUGUAUAAACUGGAAUAUAGGUCGACCCCUUAAUUUACAAGUUGCAAGAUGCAAAAGAAGUUUUUAUGGCAAGAAAACGCAACCUUACCUUGGUGACAAAAUUGUCCAAGUAUAUAAAAGGACGAGAAAACACGGCAGAUUUAUUUAAUUGUUUUGCACUCAAUAAAACAGGAAGUAUGCGAGUGUUACUACUCAGAUUCCUCAGAGCCUUCGUCCGACGACGAGUUCACUAACACAAUUUAAAGGGACGAUGCCGUCCCUUUGAAUUGCGCCCUCGAAAGCUCGGAGGCACGAGCAACCUCAACGCCUUUUAUAUGGAUGCUCUCCGACAUCACAGGUAUCGAUCUGGCGCACAGAUCCCGAAUAACGUUUGCCACCUUUGUUUCCAAUUCGGGGUACACUGCAGUCCUUCCACGAAAUUAAGUUUUCCUCGCCUUGCUGCACGCCGCCGGUUUUUGUCUCUGGUUUUGCCAGUAGCAUAUGCUUUUCUCCGAUACACUGAACUCUCGCUGCGCUGCAAGAUUCCGGUGGAUCUCUGCAUAGGCGAUUGCCUUGUUCUAAAAGGCUACUGUGAACUGUCUUCUACUUCCGCUCAUUAUUGCUGCGGUAGAUGUAACAAACCAAGGAGCACAAGUAAAAGUUAAUCGUGACCAUCGUGAC